rnacentral:rRNA from 1 species
GACGAACGCUGGCGGCGUGCUUAACACAUGCAAGUCGAACGGAAAGGCCCUGCUUUUGUGGGGUGCUCGAGGGGCGAACGGGGGAGUAACACGUGAGUAACCGGCCCUUGACUUUGGGAUAACUUCAGGAAACUGGGGCUAAUACCGGAUAGGAGCUCCUGCUGCAGGGUGGGGGGUGGAAAGUUUCGGCUGUUGGGGCUGGACGCGCGGCUUAUCAGCUUGUUGGUGGGGUAGUGGCUUACCAAGCCUUUGACGGGUAGCCGGCCUGGGAGGGUGACCGGCCACAUUGGGCCUGAGAGACGGCCCAGACUCCUACGGGAGGCAGCAGUGGGGAAUAUUGCACAAUGGGCGGAAGCCUGAUGCAGCAACGCCGCGUGCGGGAUGACGGCCUUCGGGUUGUAAACCGCUUUAGCCUGUGACGAAGCGUGAGUGACGGUAAUGGGUAAAGAAGCACCGGCUAACUACGUG